GGAGUCUCGUCUGACGACUCUUCUUCCUCCAGCUUGGCCUUUCCCUUGGACUGUAUUGGGAUUGCCUCUGUUUGAGUCUUUGGAGUGUCGAUGGAAGCCUCCUCCCUAAUCCUGGGAGCCAUGAAGGAGGUCUCUUCCUGAGUUUUAUACUGCUCGAGAUUAGUUUGUAAUCUUUUUAUGUACUGUGCAUCUACUCAUUAUUUAUAUUGCUGAAAUCAGCUUCAUUGGCCAUUGAUGGGGUAUUUUAUCUUCUACUAAGGGUGGAGAGAAUGAUUACGCCCUUGUUGGAAGCAACCUUAGCAGCAGGUUGUGAAUUGUCAGCCAUUUUAGAGAAUAGAAAAGGAAAAAGUUUCUUUUUAAGAGAA
rnacentral:lncRNA from 1 species